ACGUGAAGGAACAUUCUGGGGAUGCGUUCUCUGGAACGUGGCAACUAACGGAAUUCCCUGAAAAAUGGUUUCUUCUCUCCCCAGACUGAAGAAUGACAGAGAUCUCCAGCUGGGGUUGCAGCCAUUUAAGAAACUGUAGCACUCUUGCUUUUGUGCCCUCCCCAACCCCACCCCACCAGGGAGCGCUUCACCGUUACCAAAGUGAGAAAAAAGGCUGGAUUAAAAAACUGAGGCUCAAAGAAGUUCGGCCACCUGACCAGUUAUUAAGUGGUGGUGCUGUAGAUCGAACCCCAGUCUUCAUCACCCCUGGGAUUGGACUUUUAACCACUCUGUAUGGUGGCAUGGUGCAUCUUGGUAUUAUGGGCUUUUGAGACCAGAAGUUUCUCUGCUAAAUCCUGGCUGAAUAUCUCUGAUAUCUGUCUCCAAUCUCUCUCUCUUUCAUCUCCCAUCUCUCCACAUGACCUGGAUUCUCUUUUCCAUCCCCCUGAGGUGAGCUUUCUCCAUAUGCUGACCCUUUUCUCAGAGCUAU